GAUGAACGCUGGCGGCGUGCCUAAUACAUGUAAGUCGAGCGAAAUGAUUAGAAGCUUGCUUCUAUGACGUUAGCGGCGGACGGGUGAGUAACAAGUGGGCAACCUGCCUGUAAGACUGGGAUACCUUCGGGAAACCGAAGCUAAUACCGGAUAGGAUUUUCUCCUUCAUGGGAGAUGAUUGAAAGAAGGUUUAGGCUAUCACUUACAGCUGGGUCUGCGGUGCAUUAGUUAGUUGGUGAGGUAACGGCUCACCAAGGCAACGAUGCAUAGCCGACCGGAGAGGGUCAUCGGCCACACUGGGACUGAGACAGGGCCCAGACUCCUACGGGAGGCAGCAGUAGGGAAUCUUCCGCAAUGGACGAAAGUCUGACGGAGCAACGCCGCGUGAGUGAUGAAGGCUUUCGGGUCGUAAAACUCUGUUGUUAGGGAAGAAUAAGUACAAGAGUAACUGCUUGUACCUUGACGGUACCUAACCAGAAAGCCACGGCUAACUACGUGCCAGCAGCCGCCGUAAUAC
rnacentral:rRNA from 1 species